UAGUCUGUCUAUAGCAAAUACUCAUCCAAUUAUGACAAAUCUUCACAUAAAUACUUAAAACCUUUAGUUUCCACAUGCCUAAUUGCAUCACUAAGCACCAAAAGGCCUGAGUUAUUCACUAAAUUGGUUA
rfam:Populus trichocarpa scaffold_1_contig_157, whole genome shotgun sequence.